UAACAUACGCACAGAAGGACUUCCCCCAUCAGAUCAAUGACUUGCUGAGCCACCAUCAGAGAAAUGUUCUCCUGCCACAGAUGGGAGCAAAUAGAGAGACCCACAGCCAGACACUAUGCAGACAAUGAGAGGCCUUGAGACGCUCAGCCCUAAAUGGGUGUUUCCAUUGAAUCCCAUGGGACCCCUGCAGAAAAAGAGGCAGGAAGAAGGUCCAGGGAAGCCCUGUAGAUGCUCUGACCUGCUGGAGCCGAUGGAGUCAGAUUCGGAGGUCAGAGGAAGGGCACGCUGCAGAAAGAGCAGGAAGAAUGGACCGAGGUUUUGAGUGACCAGAUUCACAUUCAGCAUGCAAGACUUAAAAGCCCCAAGGAGGAAGGUUGUUGGAAAUGAAGAACCCAGGGGUUUGGAGACAGAUCUUGGAUUGUGUGCCCCUGAGAAGAUUCUCCCCCUGUCUUGGGCUUCAGAAACUCUGUAAAAUGCACUUAAUCAUGCCCAAACUGAAGAGCCAAACCGUGGAUUAUUGUGAAUGAGCUUAUGAAGUUCAAGUGCUCUGUGAAUGAGGCACAACUGGUAGGUUUUCCGUCGGCAUUUAGAGUAAAGUCAAGCAUAUGUUGCGUCGACGAUGCCAGAGUAGAACACUGCAGGCCAUUCCUUAGCCCCUGAAGCACUUGGCGGUAAAGACAGUGAUUCGCCCGUGUGACGGUGCUUAUACAUUAUGAAUUUCUUUUUGAAAGAGGGCCUCACUAUGCGGCCCUGGCUGGUCUGGGACUUGCUAUGUCAAUCAGGCUGGCCUUGAACUCAUAGACAUCCACCUGCCUCUAACUCCCGAGUGCUGGCAUUAAAGGUGUGUGCCCUCAUGCCUGGCCUAGGAUAUUUCUUGACAGCUGAAGGAAAUACACUAUACUAGUCCGUUCCCUUGAUGCUACUUUCUGAUGGAUUUGGACACAGCAAAGCAAUGAAUUUCUGUGUGAUUUCAUCACAAGUUAAAGAAUUCAGUUUGAGAGGAGUGAGAUGAGGAGAGAAAAAAAAAGAUCAUAAAAUUAAAAAAAUAGCAAUGAUCAUUUUCCUCAUUCUAACAUGUCUGAAUUCGGAGCUUUCCAGCCAGUACAUCCUUGGUAACUUGUCCAGCUUAUUUUUAAAUACCUUGAAAGAUUGUCCUACCUUAUUUCUCUUGAGAAUUCAUCCUUCCGUGUAAUGGAGUUGCCUUGUAGGAUGUUCUCCUUGAGAUAAUAAUAUUA